UACGUAGGGUACAAGCAUUAAUCGGAAUUAUUGGGCGUAAAGGGUUCGUAGGCGGUGCGGCAAGUUGGGAGUGAAAUCUCUGGGCUUAACCCAGAGGCUGCUUCCAGAACUGCCGUGCUAGAGUGCGAGAGAGGCCAGUGGAAUUGCAGGUGUAGCGGUGAAAUGCGUGGAUAUCUGCAGGAACACCCGUGGCGAAGGCGGCUGGCUGGAUCGCAACUGACGCUGAGGAACGAAAGCUAGGGGAGCAAACAGG
rnacentral:rRNA from 1 species